UGAAUACGAGACGCUAAGGCGUCGAAGUAGUGUAUGUCAUACUUCCAAGAAAAGCUUGCACUGUCAUAGAUAAAAAACGCCUGUACCAUAACCGACACAGGUGGGUAGGUAGAGUAUACUAAGGGGCGCGAGAUAACUCUCUCUAAGGAACUCGGCAAAAUAACUCCGUAACUUCGGGAGAAGGGGUGCCUUAUUCGUAAGGUUGCAAUAACAAGAUCCAAGCAACUGUUUAUCAAAAACACAGGUCUCCGCUAAGUCGUAAGACGAUGUAUGGGGGCUGACGCCUGCCCAGUGCCAGAAGGUUAAAGAAGUUGGUUAGCAAUUGCGAAGCUGAUAACUGAAGCCCUGGUGAACGGCGGCCGUAACUAUAACGGUCCUAAGGUAGCGAAAUUCCUUGUCGGGUAAGUUCCGACCCGCACGAAAGGCGUAAUGAUUUGGAUACUGUCUCGGAGAGGGGCUCGGUGAAAUAGACUUGUCUGUGAAGAUGCGGACUACCUGCACCAAGACAGAAAGACCCUAUGAAGCUUUACUGUAACUUGAAAUUGAAAUUGGACUUUAUUCGCGCAGUAUAGGUGGGAGGCGUUGAUUAUAAUCUUGUGGGAUUAUUGGAGCCAUCAGUGAGAUACCACUCUUGUAAUGUUAGAUUUCUAACUUUGAAUCAUUAUCUGGUCAAAGAACAGUUUCAGGCGGGCAGUUUGACUGGGGCGGUCGCCUCCUAAACGGUAACGGAGGCGUACAAAGGUUUCCUCUGAACGGUUAGAAAUCGUAUCUAGAGUGUAAAGGCAUAAGGAAGCUUGACUGUGAGACCUACAAGUCGAGCAGGGACGAAAGUCGGUCUUAGUGAUCUGACGGUACUGAGUGGAAAGGCCGUCACUCAACGGAUAAAAGUUACUCUAGGAUAACAGGCUGAUCUCCCCCAAGAGUUCACAUCGACGGGGAGGUUUGGCACCUCGAUGUCGGCUCAUCGCAUCCUGGGGCGGUAGUACGUCCCAAGGGUUGGGCUGUUCGCCCAUGAAAGCGGUACGCGAGCUGGGUUCAGAACGUCGUGAGACAGUUCGGUCCAUAUCCGGUGUAGGCGUUAGAAUAUUGAGAGGAGCCUUCUUUAGUACGAGAGGACCGAGAAGGACAUACCUCUGGUGUACCAGUUAUCGUGCCAACGGUAAACGCUGGGUAGCUAUGUAUGGAGUGGAUAACCGCUGAAAGCAUCUAAGUGGGAAGCCCACCUCAAGAUAAGUAUUCUCAUC
rnacentral:rRNA from 1 species